AAAAGUUGGAUCCGCAUCAAAGUCCGCGCUUAGACGCGAAGGAAAACGCAGAUCCGCGCCAAAGUCCACGUCCUAACACGAAGGUAGACACGGAUUGCAUCUCUCUUAUCCGAAGUAGGAUUGAAGAAUUCCGCCCCUCAUCAACCCUAGGUCAUAUAAAUACAUCCUAAAAUACCACUUUGAGGUGAGAAAUCACUUUAGAGAUAUCUAACAUACCUUGAAGGGAGUUUCAUGUGGAGGAACACCCCAUGCUUAGAGGAGGAUUCUAACUACUUUUUCUUCUCUUCUUUUCCUAUAAUUUCAUAGUUUAUUAGUUCUAGAGUUUGGGUGGUGUAUGAACGUUGUGGUUUGAAGUUUGAAUUGUUCUUAUUAUUUUUUUCAUAUUGGUUUAUUUAUUCAAUCUUGCGCAGAAUUAUUU
rnacentral:lncRNA from 1 species